AAUUAUUUAUCAUACAUCAUCAUCAUCACAUAAAAUUAUCACAAUGCAUUCAUUUUUAAUCAUCACAAUACAUAAACUCAUCUAAUCAAACAUAUACAUAAAAUUCAUUCGACAUUCAAUAUCACAUUAAUAUCAAAUAUCACACAUUUAACAAAAUUAAAUCAAAUAUCACAAUAAUUACAAAUUCCACACAUUUAACGACGUUAAAUUAAUCAAAACCUUAUAAAUUUUUCUAUUCCAUAUUAUUAUUUUACAAUUCCUAUAUUUUCACAUUAAUCAGUUUAUCACUCAAAGGGCUUCUGCGGUACAUAGUGAGUCCCAGAUGAAUCAUUUGGAAAUACGAUUUUUCUGUUCAUCUCACAAUAUAUUAUACUGAUGAAGUCAAACGCUCUCUCACCCAUACCUUAUUUCGAUGCUUUCACAAACAAAUACGAUUCCACGAGUAAAUAGUCUUUGUUCUUUGACUCUUUGUCCUUCAAUUGAUCUAACUCGACAAUUUAUGGGUAAACGUCAAAAUAAAUUACGAGAAGAUACUCUAAAAACUAAAUUCGAUAUUUGAUCAUGGAAAAUUACCAUAAAUCACAAAACCAAUCAGUGGAUAAUUUAGUCACUUUUCACACGGUCAUUUUGGGGUUGGUUUCACUCAAAUCAGACUUAAAGAGAAGGAGAUCAGUGCAAAAUAACGAAUUCUACAAACGGAGAAGUCGGGUAUUUUAAAGAGAAAUUGAGGUUGCUAAAAAUCUAGAAAAUUGUGUUUAAUUGACUAGCUAAAUGAGUAAAAUAAAAUAUUAAAAUUUGAACGAAAACUGAGAAACUUUUCUGGAACAGUUAUUGACCACCAAUGCUAAACGCUAGUCUAAUUUGGUGUUUCCUAAUUUCCUCAUCCUUCCAAGCCGCUGCUGUAGCAUCAUUCCGAUUAGUCACAUAAAAUACACUUCCAAAGACCAUUUAAUUUUCAAAAUUAUACCUAUAUUUUUUUUAAAUAGUCACGUAAAAUUACUACGAUAGUUAGAUAAUAGUCAAAAUAAUAAAAAUAAAUCAAUAUAACAUCAAUAUUUUAUAUUAAUUACUAAAUCAUAAUAAAUAUAUACCUCAAUUUCAUAACAAGUAUAUUAAAAUAAAGAAAAUCAAACAUGAUA
rnacentral:lncRNA from 1 species